UCUUAUGUACAUGCCUACAAUGUUAACUCACUGGAUCUCAUCAAAACUCCGCAAUUAAUUUCACUUGGGAUAGAGUGGUACUGGGAUGGGUUACCUCCCGAGAAGUCCUGGUGUUUUACAUGCC
rfam:Picea glauca, whole genome shotgun sequence.